rnacentral:rRNA from 1 species
GCUUACCAUGCAGUCGAACGAUGAACCGCUUUCGGGCGGGGAUUAGUGGCGAACGGGUGAGUAACACGUGGGCAAUCUGCCCUGCACUCUGGGACAAGCCCUGGAAACGGGGUCUAAUACCGGAUAUGACUGUCCGCCGCAUGGUGGAUGGUGUAAAGCUCCGGCGGUGCAGGAUGAGCCCGCGGCCUAUCAGCUUGUUGGUGAGGUAGUGGCUCACCAAGGCGACGACGGGUAGCCGGCCUGAGAGGGCGACCGGCCACACUGGGACUGAGACACGGCCCAGACUCCUACGGGAGGCAGCAGUGGGGAAUAUUGCACAAUGGGCGAAAGCCUGAUGCAGCGACGCCGCGUGAGGGAUGACGGCCUUCGGGUUGUAAACCUCUUUCAGCAGGGAAGAAGCGAGAGUGACGGUACCUGCAGAAGAAGCGCCGGCUAACUACGUGCCAGCAGCCGCGGUAAUACGUAGGGCGCAAGCGUUGUCCGGAAUUAUUGGGCGUAAAGAGCUCGUAGGCGGCUUGUCACGUCGGUUGUGAAAGCCCGGGGCUUAACCCCGGGUCUGCAGUCGAUACGGGCAGGCUAGAGUUCGGUAGGGGAGAUCGGAAUUCCUGGUGUAGCGGUGAAAUGCGCAGAUAUCAGGAGGAACACCGGUGGCGAAGGCGGAUCUCUGGGCCGAUACUGACGCUGAGGAGCGAAAGCGUGGGGAGCGAACAGGAUUAGAUACCCUGGUAGUCCACGCCGUAAACGGUGGGCACUAGGUGUGGGCAACAUUCCACGUUGUCCGUGCCGCAGCUAACGCAUUAAGUG